CUUGACCUCAAAUCAGGUAGGACCACCCGCUGAACUUAAGCAUAUCAAUAAGCGGAGGAAAAGAAACUAACGAGGAUUCCCGUAGUAACUGCGAGUGAAGUGGGAAGAGCUCAAAUUUGUAAUCU
rnacentral:rRNA from 1 species